GAUGAAGAACGCAGCGAAAUGCGAUACUUGGUGUGAAUUGCAGAAUCCCGUGAACCAUCGAGUCUUUGAACGCAAGUUGCGCCUCAAGCCAUUAGGUUGAGGGCACGUCUGCCUGGGCGUCACAUAUCGUUGCCUGAUGCCAGUUUCCUCGUGAUGGGUGACUGUGCAGGGCGAAUGAUGGCUUCCCGUGAGCAUUGUUGCCUCAUGGUUGGUUGAAAAUUGAGUCUUUGGUAGGGAGCGCCGUGAUAGAUGGUGGUUGAGUGACGAACGAGACCCAAUCAUGUGAGACCCCUACCGAAUUUGGCCUUCAUGACCCACAUGCGUCUUUGGAACGCUCAUGACGAGACCUCAGGUCAGGCGGGGCUACCCGCUGAGUUUAAGCAUAUCAAUAAGCGGAGGA
rnacentral:misc_RNA from 1 species